rnacentral:rRNA from 1 species
GACGAACGCUGGCGGCGUGCUUAACACAUGCCAGUCGAACGGAAAGGCCCUGCUUUUGUGGGGUGCUCGAGUGGCGAACGGGUGAGUAACGCGUGAGUAACCUGCCCUUGACUUUGGGAUAACUUCAGGAAACUGGGGCUAAUACCGGAUAGGAGCUCCUGCUGCAUGGUGGGGGUUGGAAAGUUUCGGCGGUUGGGGAUGGACCCGCGGCUUAUCAGCUUGUUGGUGGGGUAGUGGCUUACCAAGGCCUUGACGGGUAGCCGGCCUGAGAGGGUGACCGGCCACAUUGGGACUGAGAUACGGCCCAGACUCCUACGGGAGGCAGCAGUGGGGAAUAUUGCACAAUGGGCGGAAGCCUGAUGCAGCAACGCCGCGUGCGGGAUGACGGCCUUCGGGUUGUAAACCGCUUUCGCCUGUGACGAAGCGUGAGUGACGGUAAUGGGUAAAGAAGCACCGGCUAACUACGUG